rnacentral:rRNA from 1 species
CAGCAGCCGCGGUAAUACGGAGGGUGCAAGCGUUAAUCGGAAUUACUGGGCGUAAAGCGCACGCAGGCGGUCUGUCAAGUCGGAUGUGAAAUCCCCGGGCUCAACCUGGGAACUGCAUUCGAAACUGGCAGGCUAGAGUCUUGUAGAGGGGGGUAGAAUUCCAGGUGUAGCGGUGAAAUGCGUAGAGAUCUGGAGGAAUACCGGUGGCGAAGGCGGCCCCCUGGACAAAGACUGACGCUCAGGUGCGAAAGCGUGGGGAGCAAACAGGA